rnacentral:rRNA from 1 species
CCUUAGAGUUUGAUCCUGGCUCAGGACGAACGCUGGCGGCGCGCCUAACACAUGCAAGUCGAACGGAGUCAAGAGGAGCUUGCUUUUCUUUGACUUAGUGGCGAACGGGUGAGUAACGCGUGAGUAACCUGCCCUGGAGUGGGGGACAACAGUUGGAAACGACUGCUAAUACCGCAUAAGCCCACGGAUUCGCAUGGAUCUGCGGGAAAAGGAUUUAUUCGCUUCAGGAUGGACUCGCGUCCAAUUAGCUAGUUGGUGAGGUAACGGCCCACCAAGGCGACGAUUGGUAGCCGGACUGAGAGGUUGAACGGCCACAUUGGGACUGAGACACGGCCCAGACUCCUACGGGAGGCAGCAGUGGGGGAUAUUGCACAAUGGGGGAAACCCUGAUGCAGCGACGCCGCGUGGAGGAAGAAGGUUUUCGGAUUGUAAACUCCUGUCGUUAGGGACGAUAAUGACGGUACCUAACAAGAAAGCACCGGCUAACUACGUGCCAGCAGCCGCGGUGAAACGUAGGGUGCAAGCGUUGUCCGGAAUUACUGGGUGUAAAGGGAGCGCAGGCGGACCGGCAAGUUGGAAGUGAAAACUAUGGGCUCAACCCAUAAAUUGCUUUCAAAACUGCUGGCCUUGAGUAGUGCAGAGGUAGGUGGAAUUCCCGGUGUAGCGGUGGAAUGCGUAGAUAUCGGGAGGAACACCAGUGGCGAAGGCGACCUACUGGGCACCAACUGACGCUGAGGCUCGAAAGCAUGGGUAGCAAACAGGAUUAGAUACCCUGGUAGUCCAUGCCGUAAACGAUGAUUACUAGGUGUUGGAGGAUUGACCCCUUCAGUGCCGCAGUUAACACAAUAAGUAAUCCACCUGGGGAGUACGACCGCAAGGUUGAAACUCAAAGGAAUUGACGGGGCCCGCACAAGCAGUGGAGUAUGUGGUUUAAUUCGAAGCAACGCGAAGAACCUUACCAGGUCUUGACAUCCGAUGCAUAGUGCAGAGAUGCAUGAAGUCCUUCGGGACAUCGAGACAGGUGGUGCAUGGUUGUCGUCAGCUCGUGUCGUGAGAUGUUGGGUUAAGUCCCGCAACGAGCGCAACCCUUAUUGCCAGUUACUACGCAAGAGGACUCUGGCGAGACUGCCGUUGACAAAACGGAGGAAGGUGGGGAUGACGUCAAAUCAUCAUGCCCUUUAUGACCUGGCUACACACGUACUACAAUGGCGUUUAACAAAGAGAAGCAAGACCGCGAGGUGGAGCAAAACUCAAAAACAACGUCUCAGUUCAGAUUGCAGGCUGCAACUCGCCUGCAUGAAGUCGGAAUUGCUAGUAAUCGCGGAUCAGCAUGCCGCGGUGAAUACGUUCCCGGGCCUUGCACUCACCGCCCGUCA